rnacentral:rRNA from 1 species
GAUGAACGCUAGCGGCAGGCCUAACACAUGCAAGUCGAGGGGUAGAACACUUCGGUGUUUGAGACCGGCGCACGGGUGCGUAACGCGUAUGCAAUCUACCUUGUACAGGGGAAUAGCCCAGAGAAAUUUGGAUUAAUGCCCCAUAGUAUAUAACCUUCGCAUGUUGGUUAUAUUAAAGUUCCAACGGUACAAGAUGAGCAUGCGUCCCAUUAGUUAGUUGGUAAGGUAACGGCUUACCAAGACGAUGAUGGGUAGGGGUCCUGAGAGGGAGCACCCCCACACUGGUACUGAGACACGGACCAGACGCCUACGGGAGGCAGCAUUGAGUAAUAUUGGUCAAUGGGCGCAAGCCUGAACCAGCCAUGCCGCGUGCAGGAAGACAGUCCUAUGGAUUGUAAACUGCUUUUAUACAGGAAGAAACCCUCCCACGUUUGGGAGAUUGACGGUACUGUAGGAAUAAGGAUCGGCUAACUCCGUGCCAGCAGCCGCCGUAAUAC